rnacentral:RNase_P_RNA from 1 species
CCAGCUGGCCGGGCGGCCGCACUCGCAAACGCCGAAAGGCCGCGGGUGAGGAAAGUCCGGGCUCCAUGGAGACACGGUGCCGGUUAAUGGCCGGCGGGGGCGACCCCAGGGAAAGUGCCACAGAAAGCAAACCGCCACGGUUUCACCGUGGUAAGGCUGAAAGGGUGGG